rnacentral:tRNA from 1 species
GCCGGCGCCGGAUGGCGGUCAAUAUUCGCCUUGCUCCCGCCGAGGCGGUUGCCGACUUGCCGAUCGAUCAUUUCGACGGCGCCGACA